rnacentral:rRNA from 1 species
GAUGAACGCUGGCGGCGUGCUUAACACAUGCAAGUCGAACGGUGAAGCAGGAGCUUGCUCUUGUGGAUCAGUGGCGAACGGGUGAGUAACACGUGAGCGACCUGCCCCUGACUCUGGGAUAAGCGCUGGAAACGGCGUCUAAUACUGGAUAUGUGAUGUGACCGCAUGGUCUGCAUCUGGAAAGAAUUUCGGUUGGGGAUGGGCUCGCGGCCUAUCAGCUUGUUGGUGAGGUAAUGGCUCACCAAGGCGUCGACGGGUAGCCGGCCUGAGAGGGUGACCGGCCACACUGGGACUGAGACACGGCCCAGACUCCUACGGGAGGCAGCAGUGGGGAAUAUUGCACAAUGGGCGGAAGCCUGAUGCAGCAACGCCGCGUGAGGGAUGACGGCCUUCGGGUUGUAAACCUCUUUUAGCAGGGAAGAAGCGAAAGUGAUGGUACCUGCAGAAAAAGCACCGGCUAACUACGUGCCAGCAGCCGCCGUAA